AACGAACGCUGGCGGCAGGCUUAACACAUGCAAGUCGAGCGCCCCGCAAGGGGAGCGGCAGACGGGUGAGUAACGCGUGGGAAUCUACCGUACCCUACGGAAUAACUCCGGGAAACUGGAAUUAAUACCGUAUACGCCCUUCGGGGGAAAGAUUUAUCGGGGUAUGAUGAGCCCGCGUUGGAUUAGCUAGUUGGUGGGGU
rnacentral:rRNA from 1 species